UUGGACAAUGGAGGCAACUCUGAUCCAGCGAUGCCGCGUGAAGGAAGACGGCCCUAUGGGUUGUAAACUUCUUUUAUACAGGAAGAAACCUUUCCACGUGUGGAAAGCUGACGGUACUGUAAGAAUAAGGAUCGGCUAACUCCGUGCCAGCAGCCGCGGUAAUACGGAGGAUCCAAGCGUUAUCCGGAAUUAUUGGGUUUAAAGGGUCCGCAGGCUGUUUGUUAAGUCAGGGGUGAAAUCCUACCGCUCAACGGUAGAACUGCCUUUGAUACUGGCAAACUUGAGUUAUUGUGAAGUAGUUAGAAUGUGUAGUGUAGCGGUGAAAUGCAUAGAUAUUACACAGAAUACCGAUUGCGAAAGCAGAUUACUAACAAUAUACUGACGCUGAGGGACGAAAGCGUGGGUAGCGAACAGGAUUAGAUACCCUGGUAGUCCACGCCGUAAACGAUGGUCACUAGCUGUUUGAUGUACAUUGGUACAUUGAGUGGCUAAGCGAAAGUGAUAAGUGACCCACCUGGGGAGUACGCUCGCAAGAGUGAAACUCAAAGGAAUUGACGGGGGCCCGCACAAGCGGUGGAGCAUGUGGUUUAAUUCGAUGAUACGCGAGGAACCUUACCAGGACUUAAAUGUAAGUUGCAUGAUUCAGAAAUGGAUCUUUCUUCGGACUACUUACAAGGUGCUGCAUGGUUGUCGUCAGCUCGUGCCGUGAGGUGUCAGGUUAAGUCCUAUAACGAGCGCAACCCCUAUCGUUAGUUGCCAUCAAGUAAAGUUGGGAACUCUAGCGAAACUGCCGGUGCAAACCGUGAGGAAGGUGGGGAUGACGUCAAAUCAUCACGGCCCUUACGUUCUGGGCUACACACGUGCUACAAUGGCCGGUACAGAAAGCAGCCACUAUGCGAAUAGGAGCUAAUCUUCAAAGCCGGUCUCAGUUCGGAUCGCAGCCUGCAACUCGACUGCGUGAAGCUGGAAUCGCUAGUAAUCGGAUAUCAGCCAUGAUCCGGUGAAUACGUUCCCGGGCCUUGUACACACCGCCCGUCAAGCCAUGGAAGCUUGGGGUACCUAAAGUCGGUGACCGAAAGGAGCCGCCUAGGGUAAAACUAGUAACUGGGGCUAAGUCGUAACAAGGUAGCCGUACCGGAAGGUGCGGCUGGAAUACCCCCUUUCU
rnacentral:rRNA from 1 species